CUAGAGUUCCGGCGUGAGUUUUAGCGUGUUAAUAAAUUGCACGUCCGUUAUCACAAAGUUCAACAAUAUCUGCGUGCUCUAGGAUCUGGAUUGAUGCAAUUCUUCCAUACCUCACCCACAUAUUCCUAGUCUUCCUAUCCUAAAAUGGCCAGAACCGCGCUGAUUUUGGAUCCGAGAUGUAUACUGCUUGAACACUGGUAGCUGUAUUUGUGUAACUAAUGAAGAUGUUGAGGAUUCCGAAUUCAAGAAAAAUAUCUACAACUUCAUGCCAAGGAAUCUGCCACCAAUUCCUGUCCUCCUCCUCAGCUGAGCUAGACUACUGUACGCUUUCUGUUGAUGGCUGCCCUGUGUGCAGUGUGCCUGCAGCAACGCCGAAUUCGGAUUUGUUUUUCACUAGAGUGUGUUGGUGCAACCCAUGGAUCCAGGGAGGCUACUAUUUCUAGAGAUGUGAUUGCCAUUUGAAACAGACCUCAGAAAUAAAACAAUUUUUUAUAAAACAAUGCGACAAAAAGAAAUACUAACUGCCCGACUAAACAUAUAUUAUGCUACCUAUUAAGCGAAUAGCUUCGACACCCUUUCAGAGGGAUUUUAAAAGCCAGGCACUACCCCCUGUUCACAGUCUGCAUAUACUGUUAAUUGCUGCAACGCCAGUUCAAGCUGUUUUAAUUUCAUCUUUCGGCAGACCAGCUACUUAAACGGUCACGUUAUAAUAGAGCAAUUCAAAUGAUUGUAUACAGACGGUAACAAUUCAGCUCUCUUAUCAGCUACAAUACAAUGGCUUUCUACAGCUUUAUUGUUCACUUAUCAGCUACAAUAGAAUACCUUUCUUCAGCUAUGCAGUUCAUUUAUCGACCAAGAUUCAACAGUCUGAAUAUAAUUUGUCUCCUUCUAUGCAGUUCACAUGCCUGAAUCAACAGGAACCAAUAGAAUAACUUCUUUUUUCUAAUAUGAUUGCUGCUUACCAAAGAACAUAAAUUUCAUGAAGGAAUGAAACAUUCUUAUUUGCUUUAAAUCUCUCUCUGCAAAAAUUAUGAGACACCAAAGAAACCUUCAAUUUUUCAUUGAGUUUGAAACACUGAAUUGCCAUAUAUUCUGAAGCUUAUUACAGGAUAAUCUAUCGACGAGUCCUGGACCGAGAGACAAAAAUGGUCACAAGGUUUUUCAAACACAAAUAUAAAAUAAGUAUAACACAC